rnacentral:ncRNA from 1 species
GCUAAUGCAAUGAUCAAGAGGGUUGCGGUCUUUUUUUCAGCGACGGGAUGGUUGGUGUGAAUCUCGAAAGAAGACCGUGAUUGUAGCUUGUGAGCUGCCGUCCUGAAGUGAGUAGGGAACGGCCGGUGACAGCCGUUAUCCUGAACCAAGUGGGGAUUGAAUCCCAAUUUAGGUGGUACCGCGAGU